UACGUAGGGGGGCAAGCGUUGUCCGGAUUUAUUGGGCGUAAAGAGCGUGUAGGCGGCCAGGUAGGUCAGCUGUGAAAACUCGAGGCUCAACCUCGAGACGCCGGUUGAAACCAUCUGGCUAGAGUCCGGAAGAGGAGAGUGGAAUUCCUGGUGUAGCGGUGAAAUGCGCAGAUAUCAGGAAGAACACCCGUGGCUAAGGCGGUUCUCUGGGCAUUACCUGACGCUGAGGAGCGAAAGUGUGGGGAGCGAACAGG
rnacentral:rRNA from 1 species